rnacentral:lncRNA from 10 species
GCAGUGCUCAUCGCGGACAGGGCCUCCGACAUUUGACUGGCCUUGUAACUGAAAGCCUAACAGCCUCGAGGGGAAUUGCUUAUUGAGAUGUGAGCCAUGGAUUACUUCAUGUUUUGUAUAGUACAGUCACAGUUUUAAAAAACAAUCUAGAAUUCCCUGCAACUGGCAAUUUCAUUGCUGUAUGGCCUGAAAUGCCUCCAUGCCCAGGAAUGCUGAAGUUAUCUGAGCGGGUACUUGGCCUCAUUUUAUAUGAAGGAAAUUUAAAUGCAGAAAGACUAAGAGAUUCAUCUAUGUUUCCAUAGACGGAGUAUGCUGCAGUUGAGAUGUGAAUUCAGGACACGUGAAUGUCCACAGUUUUGCACUCUCCUAUUGAUCUGCUUUUACGGGAUUUCAUCUUGGUUGCUAUGCUACCUCUCACAGAAGCAUCUGCAUUUAUUCGCUUCCAUUCUAGUCAACAAAAACUUAUGGAGAAUUGACUUUGUACCAGGGAUCUUUUAGGUGAGGAAACUGAAAGAGGAAAAAGACAUAGUCUCUGCACUAAAAGAGCUCCCAGUCUAUAGAGGGGACAGACACACCUACCUACUGGACAACAGACCCUCAUGUAGUAAACUAGAGAACUAUUCUAAAACUUCCAAAUGGUAGAAUGAAAGGCUUUAUACCAGUUAAAGGAGUUUAGACAUCAGCUGGCAGCUGGGGAGUGGUCUGGUGAUAUGACAGUGGACACUUGGGCUGCCUGAGAGGAGCAUGCGUUGGUCACAUAAGGUUGCCUGGGCAGAGAUCAGAAGAGAUGGACCUGGUGUCUCUCUCCCAGUUUCCUGUAUUCCCCAGGCAUGACAAGCCCACCCUCUGUGACUGCUGGUGGUCUGGUCCUGGUAAGUGGUCCAUCUGCCUCUUCCAACCACAGCUUUUAUCCCCAUCACAGACUCUGGGCCUACCAAAUCCCUUCUGCAAUCCCCAGCUCCCAGGGCCCAAGAGUCCAGUGUGCUCUCUCAGCCUCUCUCCCCUUUCAUCCAUAGGCAGACUGGAUCCUUGUGCUAGAAAUCCUUCCAGAACCAGCAAUCUGGGCCCCAUCUUUUUCUCUGGCAACAGAAAAAGGCAGAAUACACAGCCCAGGAAGAACUCUGGCAGGAAACCCCUGAAGGGUGACCCAGAACACCUUAGGUCUUGGAAAAUGGACAGGGAGUCUGGAAACAUGGCCCCAGGUGCUGGCUGCACAGAUCUUUGCUUUGUUUUUUUUUAAGUGUAUUAUUUUUAUGUUAAUUUUUUUAUUUCCAUAGGUUUUUGGAAAACAGGUGGUGUUUGGUUCCAUGAGUAAGUUCCUUAGUGGUGAUUUCUGAGAUUUUGGUGCACCCUUCACCCAAGCAGUGUACACUGCACCCAAUUUGUAGUCUUAUCCUCAUCUCUCACCUUAUACAAAAAUCAACUCAAGAUGGAUCAAGCACUUAAAAUCUAAGACCUGAAACUAUAAAAAUUCUAGAAGAUAACAUCAGAAAAACCCUUCUAGACAUUGGCUUAGGCAAAGACUUCAUGACCAAGGACCCAAAAGCAAAUGCAACAAAAACAAAGAUAAAUAGGUGAGACUGAAUUAAACUAAAGAGCUUCUGCACAGCAAAAAAUCCUUGCUUUUUAAUAUGUGCCAGUGUGUAUGGGUGGAGAAAGAGUGGGGUGGCCAUGAAAAUGCACCAUGCAGCUCUUCUGCUGUGGGGGGCAGAGUUGACUGACGACCUCAGCCACUGCCCUGCUGGGUCCACCGCUGUGGCUAUGUCAAAACCUAAGCCAUGCUGCCAGCAAUUUGCUCCCAAUCAACCCCAAGCACAGCAGGGAGUGAGUGCAGGCCCACUCCUGUGAGAAUCAGGGCUCCUCUAAUAGGUGCCUGGGCUCGAGGACAUCCCAGAGGCCUGGCCAAAGCUUUCUUGAAACUGCUCUAGAGUCUGGGACCCUUCCUAUCCAAUCUUCCUUUGUUCCCGUCUCCUCUGCAGGUGUGAGGCUGCAUCUGGGUCUGACGACUCUCGCUGCCCCCUCCCCUUUAUCCUUCACAGGUGUUUCUUGUGCACAUCGAUGCACAUCCUGGCAUCUGCUUCUUGGAGGACCAGAAUUUACACUGUAUUUGAUGAAACUUAAAUUAAUCUAAACUGUGAUAACGACACUUUAUACAUCAUCCUGAGCUAAGAAAUUCGAAGCAAAAAAGUCAUAAAAAUAAGGCUUGGUAGUAACACAAGUAAUAACAAUUACAGGAAUUUAUAGAAACUGCUUACCAUUUAUGCCUAAUUACCAUACAGAGCAACAGCAAUUAUACAGAUUAUUAAAUACAGGUCAAAUUAACAUUGUUGAG